rnacentral:rRNA from 1 species
UACGUAGGGACCGAGCGUUGUCCGGAAUCAUUGGGCGUAAAGAGCGUGUAGGCGGCUUGUUAAGUCUUGCGUGAAAUCUCGGGGCUCAACCCCGAGCGGUCGUGAGAAACUGGCAGGCUAGAGUGCGGGAGAGGAGAGUGGAAUUCCUGGUGUAGCGGUGAAAUGCGCAGAUAUCAGGAAGGACACCCGUGGCGAAGGCGGCUCUCUGGGCCGAUACUGACGCUGAGGAGCGAAAGCGUGGGGAGCGAACAGG